rnacentral:misc_RNA from 1 species
GAAAUGCGAUAAGUAAUGUGAAUUGCAGAAUUCCGUGAAUCAUCGAAUCUUUGAACGCACAUUGCGCCCUCUGGUAUUCCGGGGGGCAUGCCUGUCCGAGCGUCAUUGCGAACCCCUCAAGCACGGCUUGUGUGAUGGGCCCUCCCGCGUCUUGGUCGUCAAGACGGGCCCGAAAUGCAGUGGCGGCUUCGCGGUUAUCCGAUCAGCCAGAGCGUAUGGGGACUUUCUCUCUGUCACACGCCCGCGGCGCGGACCGAUGCCUGUCGACCUUCAUUCAUCGUUUUCUCGGUUGACCUCGGAUCAGGUAGGGAUACCCGCUGAACUUAAGC